UGGUGUUUGCGUUAGUCACGUUCAGUAAAUGGGCCAAUUGCUUUUUUGUAAUCAAUAUAGGACUUGAUCGAGCGAGAGAGAUAAGGAAACUAUUACAAAUACCAAAAAUUAACGGAAAUUUACGGGUAAAUUCUGGUAGAGUUCGGUAAGGCCGAAAACACUCGAGCAGUUUUGCAUUUGCUGCGUUUUCUAUUGUAAUCAGAUAUUCACCACAGGCUAAACAAUGGAAAUCGCAGCAUAAUUGUCAAUCCCAGUAACGCAAAAUUGCUCGUUUGUUUUCGGCCUUUAGUCUAAUAGUAAUUGGGACUAGUGAUGGAAAUUCUACUUCUUGUGUGCCGUUUCCCGUCAAGAUGAAGGCCAGUUACUGAAGGUAAAGUUUCACCUUAGUGAUUUAAACCUCAUCUUUCCUCGCGUAUUUGAAGGUUCUAAUAAACAUAGGUAAAGACACAUCCAAAUGAUCCCAAUUGAUCACGAUGACAUCAAAAUUUUCGAACCAAGGUUUUACAGUCAACACGUAAGUCCGCAACCAAAGUAUAAAAGGAUAAAAGUGUAGGAAGUUGAGGAUAUGCGUGGCAGAAUGAAUAAAAUAACUUGAUCUGAAUCCGAAUAGAGAACAGAAUAAUUUAAAUGUUUUGUUGUAAACAGAUCGAAACAGAAUGAACAACUUCAUGUUGUCAACCAAUUCCCUAUCACCCAACGAUGACGACGCAAUCCUGCAUCCUUUACGACCACAAUUUCUCACCAUAUCAUCACGGCAACUACAAUAAUCACGAUAGGUGAAUUUCUUAUUUUCUUAUCUUGUAUGAAAACCUCCCCGCCUUGACGACGACACCCGACAUAGAAAUUGAUUGGACCAGUACCGACAACCGGAGAGCCAUUGCAACAACUCGUUUUGUGUGGAAACAAUACUCUCUGAUGAGAAUGAAUUGGUGGAAAGUUAUUUAGAAACGUGUUCAUCUACAUCCCAACGCAAAAUAAACCGAAAACUUACCACAAACAUUAUCACCGCAUCAAUGGAACGGGUAUAUUACAUUAGUAUGCUCUGUAUACACAAUCACGGCAUGUACUGUAACCUUUAUGCACGACAUAAUACCCUGAUCCCUGAUGUUGAUACUAUUGAACUAGCGUGCUAUCACCACACAAGUACGUUAAAUAUUUCUUUAAGUUCACAUGCCCAAAAAUAGGAACUUAUCUACUUAUAGUAGACGGCUAGCAAAUAAAAAAUGUGAUCUUCCUAUCUAUUUUUUGUCUAUAUGUGAAAC